rnacentral:lncRNA from 1 species
GGGGACGUGAAAAGAAAGAGAGAGGGCGGAAGAGGGAGCAAAGAAAAAAAUGGACCGCUUUGCUUCAUGUGUGGCCCACAAGAGGGCCGUCGCGCGACGUGUUGGCCGCGCCCGUCGCCCUGGCCGUCGGCGUCGACACCCGUCGCCCUUGCGAGUUUCUCUUGGCGGUUUGUCUCUCCUCUCGCGUCCGGCUGGGCAAGAAUAGACUGGCCGGUCGACGAUGCCGCGCACCCCAAAGUCACCGCCGCACGCCCCUCCCCCAAGACGGAAGCCAAAAAACCAACGGCCGCCUGCCCUUUACACGUGCGCCCCUAAAUAAAAAAUUCCCUUG